CUUAGGAAUAGACGAGUGAGUAGUAUGCUUCCUGGUUAACAAAUACCCAUGCCGAAGGCCAUGGUUUUCUACCCCAGUGUUUGUAGCCUAUAGAGGGUUGCCAGUUGACUUUUACUUUGGCGGCCUUAUUGGAAGACCACCGCAUCAAUUCUUUCGACAACAACUGCUGAGUGGCUAACCCAAGCUGCAUGAUAACAGUGCCUAAAACAAGUUGUUCAUCACCACGGUCAAUUUCUGUGCAACAAGAUAGGAAAGACAACAGGUUUUUUUUACAGAUAACACGCAAUCAUGAAACACCAAGGAGAUAAGACUCAAGAACUGACAGAAAACCGAAGAAACCUUUUUACCCAUCCAGACCUGCACUCAGACAGCUGUCAGUACAGGAUCUGCUCCGAUCAUUUCAUCACUGCUGACCUCUAUCAGAACACCCAUGUAGACUGGAUUCCCACUGUGAAGACGAGCAACGCUGCAGCAGCAUCAGUUUCUACUUCCACAACUUUGUCCCUUUCCCUCAGUUAUACAACGUGGUUGUCAUAUGCUGUGUUUUGGUCAAUGUUUGUCAUAAGCUGUGCUUUGGUCAAUCUGAAUGAUUUUGUUGUGCCAUUUAAGUAGAGAUGUCACGACUUCCGCCGAAGUCAGUCCCACUCCUUGUUCGGGCGCCGUUCGGCGGUCGACGUCACCGGCCUUCUAACAAUCGCCGAUCCACUUUUCAUUUUCCAUUUGUUUUGUCUUUGUUUUACACACCUGGUUUCAAUUCCCCAAUUACAUGUUCAUUAUUUAACCCUUUGUUUUCCCCAUGGUUUUUGUGCGUGUUUGUUUUAUGUAUUUCGGUCCUAUUGUGUGGGCUUGGUAUUACUAUAUGUAUUAGGUCAUUUUUUUACUCAUCUCUGCUGUCCUGCACCUGACUCCUCUGCACCAGCUACACCCAGAUAUUUUACAAGAGAGCACCUUCACCUUGUCGUCAUGCCAGAAAUGCCCCCUUAAACCGUAUGAAUAUAUAAAAUGUAAUUUGGUACAACAUGUAAAAGACUAUUGUUUAUGACAUUGUAAACAUGCUGGACAUUAAUAAUGGUGCAAUGAAAAGUAUUGUGUGUGAUCUCUGCUUUGCCUUGCCUCAUUGAAUAAAAUGUAUUUCUAAUAGA